GUGGCUGGACUUACGCGAUUUGGAUGCAUGAGGGCCUGAACAACAGUCUUUUUUUCACGCCUUUCGUCUAAAACUACCACCGUAUCCACUUGAUAAUAUUCAUCCAUACUUAGUUGUUCUAAUUGUUCUGUGCUAUUACUUUUGAGACUAUAUUUAUUUACUUUUGAAGGCUUGUUCAAUUCGUUUAUUUUCCCUUUUUCAGUGGCAGGAGACCUCUGUCUUUUAUAUUUUGUAUCUUCUUUUCUAGAUAAUAUUAGUACUUUCUUUGACAUGCACUCAUAAGAACCUUUACUGGUAUCGAUGUUAAGAAGAGGUCCAUCUCCUAAAAAUUCUUCAUUCGACUCCUCCAACAGACUGGCGUUGCUUUUCAUACCACCUAGCGAGACGAUUGAACUCUUAUCCGACCCACUAUCACCUUCAUCAACUCUGGACGUAUUUUCUUUUUCCAGUGGUAUCACUGAACUUGAAAGUGGGUUAUUUCUCGAUUUUAUCUUCGACAUUGACUCUUCAGUAGCCUCGUUCAAGGAUACCUUCUCUGAGGUUAACACACCACUACAACAUGUUGAGGUGUUCAGUGCAAGAUUUUUGAUUAUCCUCAUACGAUACUGUCUUUGACUCACCUUUUAAGGAUGUAUUACUCUUAACUUCAACACAAAGUGUCUACAUCUCCCAACUUGCGCUUUUGUACCGCUUGAGCAUAUGUUUUUGCCGCUCUAUCAACCUUUCCCCUCGUUACUAAGAGUGCCUGAACCUGAAACAGUUGGAACACUGUUUUCUCAUCCAUCUCAAAAUUCAAUUUGACUAUUUGCCCCUUUACUGGAAGGAGCGAAGGUAUUAUUGAUGGGUCACUCGACACUUGAAAUACGAUUGAACUACUCCCUAUAACAUUUUCUUGCACCUUAAGGGCUGGAUGUAUGGCAAAACUUUCCCUGUUUACUUCCGAUUCACUUCUUCCACAAAAAGUUUCAAGGUAUUAAUUAAAUCAUUUUCCUCUACUCUUCCUACACAUUUGUAGGCUUGUACUUUAAAAGCUUUAGUUAGCCUAAAAUCUAUAGCCUUUUUAAGGGCUUUGAUAUCAA
rnacentral:lncRNA from 1 species